rnacentral:rRNA from 1 species
UGAAUACGAGACGCUAAGGCGUCGAAGUAGUGUAUGUCAUACUUCCAAGAAAAGCUUGCACUGUCAUAGAUAAAAAACGCCUGUACCAUAACCGACACAGGUGGGUAGGUAGAGUAUACUAAGGGGCGCGAGAUAACUCUCUCUAAGGAACUCGGCAAAAUAACUCCGUAACUUCGGGAGAAGGAGUGCCUUAUUCGUAAGGUUGCAAUAACAAGAUCCAAGCAACUGUUUAUCAAAAACACAGGUCUCCGCUAAGUCGUAAGACGAUGUAUGGGGGCUGACGCCUGCCCAGUGCCAGAAGGUUAAAGAAGUUGGUUAGCAAUUGCGAAGCUGAUAACUGAAGCCCUGGUGAACGGCGGCCGUAACGAUAACGGUCCUAAGGUAGCGAAAUUCCUUGUCGGGUAAGUUCCGACCCGCACGAAAGGCGUAAUGAUUUGGAUACUGUCUCGGAGAGGGGCUCGGUGAAAUAGACUUGUCUGUGAAGAUGCGGACUACCUGCACCAGGACAGAAAGACCCUAUGAAGCUUUACUGUAACUUGAAAUUGAAAUUGGACUUUAUUCGCGCAGUAUAGGUGGGAGGCGUUGAUUAUAAUCUUGUGGGAUUAUUGGAGCCAUCAGUGAGAUACCACUCUUGUAAUGUUAGAUUUCUAACUUUGAAUCAUUAUCUGGUCAAAGAACAGUUUCAGGCGGGCAGUUUGACUGGGGCGGUCGCCUCCUAAACGGUAACGGAGGCGUACAAAGGUUUCCUCUGAACGGUUAGAAAUCGUAUCUAGAGUGUAAAGGCAUAAGGAAGCUUGACUGUGAGACCUACAAGUCGAGCAGGGACGAAAGUCGGUCUUAGUGAUCUGACGGUACUGAGUGGAAAGGCCGUCACUCAACGGAUAAAAGUUACUCUAGGAUAACAGGCUGAUCUCCCCCAAGAGUUCACAUCGACGGGGAGGUUUGGCACCUCGAUGUCGGCUCAUCGCAUCCUGGGGCGGUAGUACGUCCCAAGGGUUGGGCUGUUCGCCCAUGAAAGCGGUACGCGAGCUGGGUUCAGAACGUCGUGAGACAGUUCGGUCCAUAUCCGGUGUAGGCGUUAGAAUAUUGAGAGGAGCCUUCUUUAGUACGAGAGGACCGAGAAGGACAUACCUCUGGUGUACCAGUUAUCGUGCCAACGGUAAACGCUGGGUAGCUAUGUAUGGAGUGGAUAACCGCUGAAAGCAUCUAAGUGGGAAGCCCACCUCGAGAUAAGUAUUCUCA